GAUGAAGAACGCAGCGAAAUGCGAUACGUAAUGUGAAUUGCAGAAUUCAGUGAAUCAUCGAGUCUUUGAACGCACAUUGCGCCCCCUGGUAUUCCGGGGGGCAUGCCUGUCCGAGCGUCAUUGCUGCCCUCAAGCACGGCUUGUGUGUUGGGCCUCCGUCCUCCUCCCGGGGGACGGGCCCGAAAGGCAGCGGCGGCACCGCGUCCGGUCCUCGAGCGUAUGGGGCUUCGUCACCCGCUCGUGUAGGCCCGGCCGGCGCUUGCCGACACAUCAAUCUUUUUUCCAGGUUGACCUCGGAUCAGGUAGGGAUACCCGCUGAACUUAAGCAUAUCAAUAAGCGGAGGA
rnacentral:misc_RNA from 1 species